rnacentral:rRNA from 1 species
UAGGGAAUCUUCGGCAAUGGGGGGCAACCCUGACCGAGCAACGCCGCGUGAGUGAAGAAGGUUUUCGGAUCGUAAAACUCUGUUGUUAGAGAAGAACACGAGUGAGAGUAACUGUUCAUUCGAUGACGGUAUCUAACCAGCAAGUCACGGCUAACUACGUGUCAG